rnacentral:rRNA from 1 species
GAUGAACGCUGGCGGCGUGCCUAAUACAUGCAAGUCGAGCGAACAGAUAAGGAGCUUGCUCCUUUGACGUUAGCGGCGGACGGGUGAGUAACACGUGGAUAACCUACCUAUAAGACUGGGAUAACUUCGGGAAACCGGAGCUAAUACCGGAUAACAUAUUGAACCGCAUGGUUCAAUAGUGAAAGGCGGCUUUGCUGUCACUUAUAGAUGGAUCCGCGCCGUAUUAGCUAGUUGGUAAGGUAACGGCUUACCAAGGCAACGAUACGUAGCCGACCUGAGAGGGUGAUCGGCCACACUGGAACUGAGACACGGUCCAGACUCCUACGGGAGGCAGCAGUAGGGAAUCUUCCGCAAUGGGCGAAAGCCUGACGGAGCAACGCCGCGUGAGUGAUGAAGGUCUUCGGAUCGUAAAACUCUGUUAUCAGGGAGGAACAAAUGUGUAAGUAACUGUGCACAUCUUGACGGUACCUGAUCAGAAAGCCACGGCUAACUACGUGC